rnacentral:tRNA from 1 species
CGAGUAGUUAUAUUACGGUGUUUAGAGCGCUUCCUUGCCAAGGAAGAGGUCGAGAGUUAGAGUCUCUUAGCUCGC